UGGGGAAUAUUGGGCAAUGGGCGCAAGCCUGAUCCAGCCAUGCCGCGUGAGUGAUGAAGGCCCUAGGGUUGUAAAGCUCUUUCGCCAGGGACGAUAAUGACGGUACCUGGAUAAGAAGCCCCGGCUAACUUCGUGCCAGCAGCCGCGGUAAUACGAAGGGGGCUAGCGUUGUUCGGAAUCACUGGGCGUAAAGCGCACGUAGGCGGAUCUUUUAAGUCAGGGGUGAAAUCCCGAGGCUCAACCUCGGAACUGCCUUUGAUACUGGAGGUCUCGAGUUCGGGAGAGGUGAGUGGAACUGCGAGUGUAGAGGUGAAAUUCGUAGAUAUUCGCAAGAACACCAGUGGCGAAGGCGGCUCACUGGCCCGAUACUGACGCUGAGGUGCGAAAGCGUGGGGAGCAAAACAGGAUUAGAUACCCUGGUAGUCCACGCCGUAAAACGAUGGAUGCUAGCCGUUGGGAAGCUUGCUCUUCAGUGGCGCAGCUAACGCUUUAAGCAUCCCGCCUGGGGAGUACGGUCGCAAGAUAAAACUCAAAGAAUUGACGGGGUCAUAGCUGUUUCCU
rnacentral:rRNA from 1 species